rnacentral:rRNA from 1 species
UACGGGGGGGGGCAAGCGUUGUUCGGAAUUACUGGGCGUAAAGGGCUCGUAGGCGGCCAACUAAGUCGGAUGUGAAAUCCCCAGGCUCAACCUGGGAACUGCAUCCGAUACUGGAUGGCUUGAAUUCGGGAGAGGGAUGCAGAAUUCCAGGUGUAGCGGUGAAAUGCGUAGAUAUCUGGAGGAACACCGGUGGCGAAGGCGGCAUCCUGGACCGAUACUGACGCUGAGGAGCGAAAGCCAGGGGAGCAAACGGG